GACAAGGUGCCGGAGAGGUUAACGGGAACGCCUAGAACUUUCGGUUCUACACUGACUCAGUGACAAGCGUUUGGUCUUUGACCGCACAGGUUCGAAUCCUGUUCUUGUCG